GUGGGGAAUAUUGGACAAUGGGCGAAAGCCUGAUCCAGCAAUGCCGCGUGAGUGAUGAAGGCCUUAGGGUUGUAAAGCUCUUUUACCCGGGAAGAUAAUGACUGUACCGGGAGAAUAAGCCCCGGCUAACUCCGUGCCAGCAGCCGCGGUAAUACGGAGGGGGCUAGCGUUGUUCGGAAUUACUGGGCGUAAAGCGCACGUAGGCGGCUUUGUAAGUUAGAGGUGAAAGCCUGGGGCUCAACUCCAGAAUUGCCUUUAAGACUGCAUCGCUUGAAUCAUGGAGAGGCGGGUGGAAUUCCGAGUGUAGAGGUGAAAUUCGUAGAUAUUCGGAAGAACACCAGUGGCGAAGGCGGCCCGCUGGACAUGUAUUGACGCUGAGGUGCGAAAGCGUGGGGAGCAAACAGG
rnacentral:rRNA from 1 species